GGCGUAGCUCAGUAGGUAGAGCAUCUGAUUUGUAAUCAGGCGGUCGGGGGUUCGAUUCCUCUCGCC
rnacentral:tRNA from 1 species